rnacentral:rRNA from 1 species
GGCGGACGGGUGAGUAACGCGUAAGAACUUGCCCUUUAGACUGGGAUAACAGAGGGAAACUUCUGAUAAUACUGGAUAAGUUAGUAUAUCGCAUGAUAUGCAAAUGAAAGCUACGGCACUAAAGGAGAGCUUUGCGUCCUAUUAGCUAGUUGGUAAGGUAAGAGCUUACCAAGGCGAUGAUAGGUAGCCGGCCUGAGGGGGUGGACGGCCACAAGGGGACUGAGAUACGGCCCUUACUCCUACGGGAGGCAGCAGCU